rnacentral:rRNA from 1 species
GAUCCUGGCUCAGGAUGAACGCUAGCUACAGGCUUAACACAUGCAAGUCGAGGGGCAGCAUUUUUAGUUUGCUUGCAAACUGAAGAUGGCGACCGGCGCACGGGUGAGUAACACGUAUCCAACCUGCCGAUAACUCCGGAAUAGCCUUUCGAAAGAAAGAUUAAUACCGGAUAGCAUACGAAUAUCGCAUGAUAUUUUUAUUAAAGAAUUUCGGUUAUCGAUGGGGAUGCGUUCCAUUAGUUUGUUGGG